UGAAUUGACGGGGGCCCGCACAAGCGGUGGAGCAUGUGGUUUAAUUCGAUGCAACGCGAAGAACCUUACCUACUCUUGACAUCCAGAGAAUUCGCUAGAGAUAGCUUAGUGCCUUCGGGAACUCUGAGACAGGUGCUGCAUGGCUGUCGUCAGCUCGUGUUGUGAAAUGUUGGGUUAAGUCCCGCAACGAGCGCAACCCUUAUCCUUGUUUGCCAGCACGUAAUGGUGGGAACUCCAGGGAGACUGCCGGUGAUAAACCGGAGGAAGGUGGGGACGACGUCAAGUCAUCAUGGCCCUUACGAGUAGGGCUACACACGUGCUACAAUGGCGCAUACAGAGGGCUGCAAGCUAGCGAUAGUGAGCGAAUCCCAAAAAGUGCGUCGUAGUCCGGAUUGGAGUCUGCAACUCGACUCCAUGAAGUCGGAAUCGCUAGUAAUCGUAGAUCAGAAUGCUACGGUGAAUACGUUCCCGGGCCUUGUACACACCGCCCGUCACACCAUGGGAGUGGGCUGCAAAAGAAGUGGGUAGUUUAACCUUCGGGAGGACGCUCACCACUUUGUGGUUCAUGACUGGGGUGAAGUCGUAACAAGGUAGCCCUAGGGGAACCUGGGGCUGGAUCACCUCCUUA
rnacentral:rRNA from 1 species